rnacentral:rRNA from 1 species
ACCAGACUCCUACGGGAGGCAGCAGUGGGGAAUAUUGCACAAUGGGGGAAACCCUGAUGCAGCGACGCCGCGUGAGUGAAGAAGUAUUUCGGUAUGUAAAGCUCUAUCAGCAGGGAAGAAAAUGACGGUACCUGACUAAGAAGCCCCGGCUAACUACGUGCCAGCAGCCGCGGUAAUACGUAGGGGGCAAGCGUUAUCCGGAUUUACUGGGUGUAAAGGGAGCGUAGACGGCGGUGCAAGCCAGAUGUGAAAGCCCGGGGCGCAACCCCGGGACUGCAUUUGGAACUGGGCUGCUAGAGUGGCGGAGAGGGAGGCGGAAUUCCUAGUGUAGCGGUGAAAUGCGUAGAUAUUAGGAGGAACACCAGUGGCGAAGGCGGCCUGCUGGACGAUGACUGACGUUGAGGCUCGAAAGCGUGGGGAGCAAACAGGAUUAGAUACCCCUGUACA